AUCUUUAACCAUGACAAGUAUAUUAAGGAAUUUUACUAAAAUAAGAUGUAAUAUGUGAAGAAGUAAAGAAUUUUCAAGAGAGAUACAGAUAAUAUUUUUCUUUUUUCUUUUUUUAUUUAUUUUAUGUUUUUUGGCCACACCUGUGGCAUGCAGAACUUCCUAGGCCAGGGAAUCAAACCCUCACCACAGCAGCAACCCUUGUCACAACAGUGACAGCACCGGAUCCUUAACCUGCAGAGCCACCAGGGCACUUCCCAGAUAAUAUUUUUUAAUGAGAUGAAAAAUCCUAACACUGAAAAAUAUAUCUGAAAUUACUUGAUAGGAUUAUCAGUGGGUUGGACAAAAUAGUCAAAAGCAUCAUUAAACUUGAAAACAGGUUGCUAGAAAUCAUCCAAAUAAAAGUGCACUGAAAAAAAAAAUUAAAUAAACAAGUAUCAGUGACUGAUGAAGUAGUAUCAAGUGGUCUAACACAAAUGAAACUGAGCUCCUAAAAAGCAAGGAGGGAGAGCCUGGGGCAGAAAAAUAUUUGAAAAAAUAUUAGCAAAAGCUUUCCAAAAUUGAUUAAUUACAUUUUAUCCAGGAUGUUUACUUGUUUUCAGUGAAAAGUAGAUUCCAAUAGCCUAGCAUGCCAUGAAUGGAGUUUAGAAGUUAGCAAAAAAGUAAAGUUUUACGUCUACGUGAAUGAGCAGCAAGGCAUUUUAAAGGUAAAUAAAAUAUGGAAAAAUACUUCGCUGGAUGGAACUAUCCUGAACAUUACUGUACUUUUAACAUAAAUGCUGCCUAUCCACUAAACCCCAUAGUACCACCCCAGUCAUUGUAAUACCACAGCAUCCUCCCAGGUUUUCAGAAUCUCUCUCAGUGCAUAGUAUAGCCCUCCAUCCAUCAAGAUUCCCUCUCUCACAUGAUCUGCCACUGCCUCCUUUCCCCAUGCCCCUUCUAACCUCCUUCUGAUGCUCAUGUCUCUCAAACCACACUGGCGUCUUUCCAUCUCAGGGCUUUGGGGAUGGCUUUUCUCACUUCCUAAAUGAUCCUCCCCUCAAAAUCCAUUUAACUGACUCUUCUCCUCCUCGGGUUUUUGUUCGAAUGUCAUUUUCUCAGUAAGACCUGAAAAUGAAACAAAAGAAAACAAAAAACUUGCACAUUCAUUCCCCAUCCCCAGUUUAUUUUUAUCUGUAGCCUCUAUUUGAGUUGCUGUGUAUUUUACUUACUUAAUUUUCUCACGAUCUCACUUUCUUCUCCACUAGAACAUAAGUUCCAGUGAGGAGGGAGGGGAAUUUACCAUUUUUUUCUCUGUAGUUUCUUUAAUACCCUAAAUGAGUAAAAAAUUGCAACUGCUAACAUUUUUCAUGGGGCUGGCAUGUGGGCAACCUUAAUUUAUUCCUAAUAACCCCCAAAUCUUUCAAGAUAUUCCUUCAGUUUUUCAUGAAUAAGAGAGUCCCCAAAGUAUUCUACUAAUUUUUACAUUUGUAAGGUUAUGUUUGAGUGUCUUAGCAAAAAGGAUUAGAGCAGUAAAAGCUUCAGCUUUUUAACCAAGGAGAAUAAGAAAUGCGAUAUGGUUGUUUCCAAAGCAACAAAAAGCUUUACCUCAUUAAGUAGACUGAGGGCUCCUCCUUAUUAGAUUGAAAUAUCCAGUCAAAUAAGGAAGGCACCCUCACAAAGAAAAAAACACUUAGAGCUGUCAUCACAAAGAAAUUUGCCUAUUCAGUUAUAAGCUAAUUUGUGACAACUUUUUUUCUUUAGGCGCUCAGGCGUCAGGAUGGAUGAUGAACUUUCCAAAAGGAAAAAGGUGGAAAAUCAUCGAAAGUACCAUAAACUCGCUCCCAGCUAAAUAAGUGUUUCCAUGUAGCAGGUGCAGAGUCAAGGGAAAUUAUAUUCCUGUACUCUUUAGCCUACCAACAAACAGCCUAUUAACCUCCUGUCAUAAUCUAGAUUAUUCUUGAAAGCAGAGCCUAAAACAGCAGUAGACACAUUCUAUGAGGAAAUAUGAUCCCGGGGAACAGGAAUGCGACAGAGGGGACCAAACGGAGAAAAGGGAAAGAAAAUCCAAGCAAAAUGAGGUGGUGUUAUUCAGUGGUCCAUGAGAGUUCAUGGCUACUUUGUGCAGCACCUCCCCAGGAUUCUUAUUAAACUUUGUCUCAGAGUUGUCUGCCUCAGGGACAGAAAGGAGAAGCAUUUAUCUCUCAGCAGCUAUCACCUGUGUUCUGAGGGCUACUCUCAUGGGGCUACCCCCCCACCCCCACCCCAGGAGAGCCCCACUGGUGCCAUAGCAUCACAUGUGCUGCACCAGAGGACAUUUGGAACAGGAAGCUAGAUUCUUGAUGCAUGCCUGAGGUGAGGGUGAAACCUGCCCAGAGCUGUUCACCAGAGCUGUGGCUGGAAUCAGACUGGAAGAGAGUUCAAAAGAGGCAUCUUAGAAGCCUAGCAAAUGUGCUGUUAGCCCUGUCUAAAUCCGUAUUCUCCUUUCUUUCUAUCAUUAGAAUUUCAUUGUCCAGAACAACAUUGGCAGAAGGAUUAAAUAGGAAGAUUAAAUGUAUUUCCUAGAAGCUGUAUGUUAAUAAACGCUAAACCUUGAGUGACAUUUAGAAGAAAAAGUGACACUAAAACUUGGAAAAUUAAAAAAUGAUUCUGAAGAGAAUAAAGAUGAGUAACAUUAAAAAAAAAUUCUACUUGAAACAUUUUACCAUCAGAUAGCAAUAUUAGAUAUCUUCUAAACUCAUGUAAUCUCAGAAGUAAUCAAUGAAUUGUUCAGAGAAAUAAAAUUAACCAUUUCUUAUAUUUCUGUGAGCCUUAUAGAUCAGUAUCAUUAAUUUUUCCUAAAAUACUGUUUUCUACUGUCACGUAGCACUCGAGAUAACAGAGAUUACAGCUAAUGAAGGGAGAAUUGAUAGAUGUACAGGAAGGAAAAAUAGUGGGAUAAUUUCCAUAACAUAAAUAGCUGUUAUUAAUAUUGGUUGGAAUCAGGGAGGCAGAAGAACUACACAUGGUGACUUGUUUCCCCUUUGAAGUUUUAUUUUUACCAGAAAUAAUUUUCUCCCUGCCUGUACCCGUGAGACAUCAUAAUCAUCAUCUCGUAUUUGGUCUGGAAUUCCCACCUUUGAGUCAUUUAAUAUGGAUUGAGCUUCUACUAUUUCCUACAUAUUGGCACAGUGCAUAUAUGAAAGACAUGCUGUAAAACAUCUCCAAACAUUUCAGAAUACAUACUCUUAAAGUACAAUCAGAACAUUUACCAAAACUGACCAUGUGAUUGAUCACAAAUCAUCUGAACAAAUUUCAAAAGACUGAAACCCUAUAAGAAAAGUUUGCAAAAGACUAGCAAUCAGUGUUUCAAGAAGCUAGGAAAAUAGUUGUGUGAAGCAGCUUUUCAGACCUUGGACAACUGGCAGCAAAGGACCAAUCCCUGGCAGGUGAAACAGGGUGAUCCUCCCAUUGCCUCUGGAUCACACUGAAGGAGGAAGAGCUUGAGCAGAGCAGAGCAGUCUUGCUGAGUUGAGGAGACAAAGAUUAGUAUCAAGUGGGACAGAUGUCUUGAAUUUUCAGGGCAGAGUAUCAGCGAGAAAGAAGAUACGUAGAGGAAAAAAAUUCAGAAAUUUAAAUACAGAUCCCUCUCUGUCCAUUACUGAACACUAAACAAUUCCCCAAACUAUUUUAAUUUUCAUCCAGCCACAUUGAAGAGUCCUCAUGGCAAACUCCACACUUUCACUAGGAUCCCAGGAAGGUUACACCUCACUUAAGUAGGGCUAAACUAGCCUUGCAAUAAAAUCUACCAUGGACUUGCUCAAAAAAACAAGCCUCAGUAAUACAAAACUGAUCCUCAGGUUACUUAACUAUCUGCCAAAACCUAGUCCAAAUUUGUUAGUUCAGGUCCUCCAAGAAGCACAUGCAAAUAUGGGAUUAGAUUUACAAGAGAUUUUAUUGAGAAAGGUUGAAAUAGGAAGCCAAAGCAGCAGAGUCUUCAGACUACCUAGCCUGUCUCACCCCUCUGAAAGAGAGGGAGAAGGAAAGAGGGUUGAGUAGCAAAGAGUCUCAGAUGGCAACCCAAUUCCAGGAAAGUUUCAGGUCAGAACUUGCUGCUCAGAGGAGUCCCAUGUUUCACAGGAAUAGGCACGCAUUAGGAUACCUGCUCCAUGGUUGUUCCAGUGAAAACAGCCCAUGGGAAAGUAGCCUCAGCACAAAGAUAAUGGAUGCAGAGAACAGCAGGGGCCCUCAGUCAGUAUGCUCCUGUCUGCAGGAGAUCUGGGUGGUGUACUUUCAUGGCUACCAUGGUCCAUGCCUUGUGCUGCCCAGCUCUCCCCAGGGAGCAAGGCCUCCAUGGUUCCUGUGGGUCUCUCUUCCUGGGGGGAGGCUUAGAAGAUGAAGGUUAGUAUGAUGAACUACAUCCCCUCUCAGGUGAUCUCAGGGCUGCAAGUGGUCCUUACCCUCUCCUUUCUCCACUAUCCAUUUUGGAUUCCCAUCACCUUAAUCACCUCAGCAGUUCUUAGUGGUUCACCUGAUCAUGUGAUAUAAACAUUAUCACAUCUAAGGGUCUGAACCCUUAGUAAUCAUUCCCUUCUGAGAUGCCCACAAGUGUCUGUUCACGAUUACAGUAGGGAAAGGGAGCAAUGGGAGAUACCAAGUGGCUCACCUGGGAUCCACACAUAUGCCUCCCCGUUCCACUUUGUGUAAGCAGCUGACCUCCUGCUCAUGAGGGUUGACGAUGCUGUGAAUAUGGUGAUUCCUCAUCUGCGUGCCCCUGGGCACAAGGAGUACAAAGUGCCCUAGUGGCAACCAUUUCUUUAGCUCAAUGGAAACAUUACUAUAGCCCAUGACAAGAAUAUACCUCUCUGGGAACCAAGACUCCAACUUACAGAGGGCAGAGCCACAGGGCAGGAAGCAUGCAUGUUUCCAAUAAGAAGUCAUUGGGAAUACUGUAAAUAAAGCCACUCCUUUUGCCAUUCCAUUUGACUCUCAUAAUCAUCCUAUUGGGGACACAACACCAUGAAGGUCUCUGGUUUAAUGAAUACACUGUAUCCUGAAGGAAGACAACCCAAUAUUUCAGAAUGUUGCCUAAAAACUCAUACUUUAGCUAUGACUUUAGAAGACUGUUUUACACUCUGCAAGGCUGACUACAUGUAUGAGACUGCAGGUGAUGUCUGCAGUAUGUGAUAGGACCAGGAAAUCCCAUGGUCAUGGGCCUACCCUUGUACCUUCAUCACCAUCAAGUGGUCUGAUACUAUGUAAGUGCUUUACAGUAGUCCUGCCUGAGGCUCUGCAGGUAGGAAAGGCAAACCUAUACCUGAACUAGGUUCUAUCCCUGUGAGGAUAAAUUACUAGCUCUUCUCAGAUGGGAGAGGCCUGUUAUAGUCAACUUGCCACCAGAUGACCAGUCUACUUGAGGAACAGUGCCAUGUUGAGGGGUCAGUAACAGUCUCUGUGGCUGACAGAAUGGACCUUCAGAGGCCACAAUAGCUGGAUCAGCCUUGGUAAGUGACGGCCCAUGUGUUGAGCCCAUAUAUAAUUUCCAGCUCUGCCAAGGUAGCUAUUCCAUUCAUGUGCCUGUCAUAGGGUGUCUGAUAACAAAGCCUGACUAACUUCAACUAGACAAAGACAUUUUAUUUGUUUGGUGUUUAAGUUAUCCCUUCCAAAAUGGAUGCUUUCUUGUGGAUGUUAAUGUGUGAGACAAAAAUCUUCACAGUCUGUGUCCACUCCCAUAUGUCCAUCCACAUUCCUCUACACCAGACUUACUUGGCUCCAUUAUCCAGACCUUUUUUCCAUCCAAGCCCCUGAACAAGUCAAGUCAUUAGCCACUGGCCAGUAAACUACGUAUUCUCAUUUAGAACCAGUUCUCCUCUGCAUCAAGUAGAUGACCAGGUAUGCCACUCACAACUCUGCUUAUUAGAAAGGCUUGCGGAGUUCCCGUCGUGGCGCAGUGGUUAACGAAUCCGACUAGGAACCAUGAGGUUGCGGGUUCCGUCCCUGCCCUUGCUCAGUGGGUUAACGAUCCGGCGUCGCCGUGAGCUGUGGUGUAGGUUGCAGACGCGGCUCGGAUCCCGCGUUGCUGUGGCUCUGGCGUAGGCUGGUGGCUACAGCUCUGAUUCAGCCCGUAGCCUGGGAACCUCCAUAUGCCGUGGGAGCGGCCCAAGAAAUAGCAACAAC
rnacentral:lncRNA from 1 species